UGCAGGUGAGAUUGACAGUUGGUGGGUUAGGUUUGGGAGUGACAUCACCAUGGUGCAGAAAGAUAUCAUGGUUGACAAGCUGAUCGUAUAGUUCUUCAAAUGGAACAAUGGGGUCCUGAUUGUGUAAGGCUGCUAUGAGUUCCUUGUAGGCAUGCUCUAGACCGUAUGUAUUAUAGGGCAGGUUGGCAUCACUGGGAGGAGCACCAAGUUCGUUGACAAUAUUCUUGAUGGAUAACAGGAAUUCUGCCUCUGAUUUGCAGCGACAGGUGAUCUGAGAAAAUUUAUCCUUAAGAUAAAUGAUAUGACCAUGAGAUUUCUUUGUGUACAUCUGCGCAACGCGUGUCCAAGCUUCUUGGCUGGACCAGGCAGAGGACACCAAGGGGACCAUUGUCUGAGACAGUGAGGCCAAGAUGGCAUGUAAGAGUAGCUGAUCUUAACACAUCCAAAACAUGUGGAUUCAAAGAGGAAACACCAUUUGUCGCAGUUGCAGAGGGAGGACAUGGCAUGGUUCAAUCUAGAUAUCCAAGCAAGUCAAGGCCAUAAAAGAGAGAGAUGAACUGAUCCCACCAUGAGAUAUAGUUGACGGAGGUUAGUUUCAAGGGAAGUUGUGCAACAGCAUUAAUGGUGAUGAGGUUCAUGGCAGAUAAAGAUGCUGUGGUGGAGAUGGUAAUGACGGGGUUAUUCUUGACUGAAUCAGUGGCCAUUUCUAGAGAAAGAAGUUUGGUUGAAGAAGAAAAAAAAAAUCACUGAGAGAAGAAAUACUUGUUGGAGUGUCUGUGGCUCUGAUACUAGGUAGGGAAUGCAAAUAUCAGAGAAUACAGUGUUGGAAAAGAAUGCUCAUCUUGUAUUGACUUAUGAUUCAUAUAUUAAUAAUAUAUAUAUUUUUUUUAUAGGUAAAUAGAUUUCAUUAAGAGCCAAAGGCUAGAGAAAAGGCAUACACGAAGUAUACCAAAGACAAAGAAGCAAAAAACAAAGGGACAAAACAAACAUGACCCUUACAUGGUGGCUAGCCAAUCUACAAAAUCUAUCAAAGACAAAGUGUGUUCCUCUAUAUACACCCUAGCCCAAUUCACAAAAGUGUACAAAAAAAUGGAUUUAAUGUCUUGAUCGUUCUUCUCCAUAUCAUCAAAUGCCCUCCUGUUUCUUUCUCUCCAAAUGGUCCACAUCAAACAGAGGGGGGCAGCUCUCCAAGCUUUCUUCCUUUUCUUGCCCACAAAGGAAUCAUGCCAACCUAGGAGAUGUUUUUUCACAGAGGAGUGCAUCACCCAUUGCACCCCAAACAGGGAGAAAAUUAGAAGCCAUAACAUUCUGGCUUUCUCGCAAAACAGUAGAAGGUGAUCUGUGGUUUCCUCCUCAUAUUUACACAAAAAGUAUUUGUUGGGGAUGCUCCAACCAAAUCUCUUAAGGCGGUCCGUGGUGAGCAACCUAUUCCAAGCUGCCUCCCAGCCAAAGAAACUAGCCCUAAUUGGAACCCAAGGCGUCCAAAUAGUUCUAGCCGGGAAGGGGGGUUUGGUAUCCCUUGAGAAAGAGCUAUAAAAGGACUUGACAGAAAAGGUUCCAUUCUUGUUCUCUUUCCACCGGAACAAGUCCUCCACACCUCUUCUAAUGGUUAAGGGAUGAAGCUUGCUUAAUAAGCUUUCGACUUCUCCCACCUCCCAAUCAUUAAGGUGUCUAUUAAAACGAAGCCCCCGGCUACCUCCUCCUUCGUCUUCCUCCCAAGCCUCAGCAACCCAUCCUUCUUUAUUGACAGAGAGGUUAAAUAAGAUGGGGAAAGCUUCUUCCAGAGAUUGAUUUCCACACCACAAAUCCUUCCAAAACUUCACUCUGGUGCCGUCCCCAAUGAUGAAGCGGGCAUGAGAAUGAAAAUUCUCCCAACCUUUUCUGAUGGCCUUCCAGACCCCCACCCCAUACCGGUUUCUUGCAACUUUGGAGCACCAUCCUCCCUCUUGAAGAUCAUACUUACUAAGGAUAAUUUGCUUCCAUAGGGGCUCAUUCUCAUUAGCGAAUCUCCACAACCAUUUCCCAAGAAGGGCCUUGUUAAAAGUAGCUAGACUACGAAUGCCCAAGCCACUUUUCUUUUUAUCGGCACAAACAACCUUCCAACUUACCAAGUGAGGUUUAUUCUCUAAGGCUCCACCGCCCCAUAAGAAAUCCCUUUGGAUCUUUUCAAGCCUUGUGCACACUCUCUUGGGGAUCACAAAGAGAGAGAGAAAGUAGGUUGGGAGGCUUGAGAGGGUGCUUUUCAGCAGGGUAAGACGGCCGCCUUUGGAGAGGUAUUGCCUUUUCCAGAGAGAUAACCUUUUCCUGAAUCUUUCUUCCACUGCAUCCCACACCCUAAUGGAUUUGUAGGGGGCUCCAAGGGGAAGACCCAAGUAGGAUGUAGGUAAGCUCCUUAUCUUACAACCCAAGACCGCCGCAAGAGUCUCCAUAGGAAUGCCUUCCCCCACUGGGAUGGCCUUUGUUUUAUUCAGAUUGACUUUUAAUCCUGAAAUCGCCUCAAACCACAUGAAGGUCCAGCUAAGGUAUUGUAACUGAUCUGCAUCGGCGUCACAGAAAAUUAAGGUGUCAUUGGCAAACAAGAGAUGGGACACGAACAACCCCUCACUUCCUCUUCCUCCCACUUUGAAACCGGAAAUAAAGUUUCCAUUUCUUGCACGGGACAACAAUUGGCUAAGAGCUUCCAUGGCCAAAAGGAAAAGAUAGGGGGAUAGAGGGUCGCCCUAUCUCAAUCCCCUAGAGCUACGAAAGAAGCCCGAGGGGCUUCCAUUGAUAAGGAUCGAGAAGGAAGCCGUGGAGCAGCACCAUUUUAUCCAAUUAAUCCAUCUGUGUCCAAAUCCCAUCUUGGACAUCACCUCCAUAAGAAAGUUCCAAUUGACAUGGUCAAAGGCCUUCUCAAUGUCCAUCUUGAGAAGGAGGCCCGGGAUGUUGUCUUUCAAUCUAGAAUCAAGGUCUUCGUUAGCAAUAAGAACAGCGUCCAAAAUCUGCCUCCCAUGGACAAAAGCAUGCUGAGAAUCAUUCAAAUCACAUGUAAUCAGGGAGAAAUAUCUGCAUGUUUGAAAUCCCUUGAUUAAAGGAGUUAGAAUUGGAAACUCUAUCAGUUAAAGUACUUGUAUUUUGAUAUUUUCUAAAAAUGAUCCUAGUUUAGAAAAUAUUCUUGUGGAUAGUUUUUGGAUUUUUUAUUUUUAUUUUUUCUGUUUAUGAAGACGGUUAACAAUUUUCAUUUGAGCUACCAAAUAGACCAUUAUUGAUUGUUUACUUAUUAUGUUAUCAUCUAAAAAUCUGACAAUUCCUUAGUAUUGAUAUGGAUUUUAGUUAGUAAUAAUGAUCUUAUAGUGGUUGAAUAUGUGCAAACAUUAUCUGAAAAUUUUGGAUGGAAUGUGGAACUAUGAAUUAGCUUAAGUUCAUGGCCAAUGAGUUUUUGUUAGUAUUAAUAUAUGGGAAUUCAACUUUAGUAAUUCAGUCUUCAUAUACAAUGCACUACUAGUGGCUCCUAUAAUGUUGGAAGGUAGAUUUGUUGAAGAUGGUAUUCAAAAAUUAAUAAAAUAAUAUUCAUGGAGGGUUAAAAAUUAAGCUCAACUUGCUGCAAUAGAAUGUGGAUCACCAGAAUUUACCCCAUCACGGCUAGUUUAAUACUACAUUUUUGAGUUAUAUAUACAUGCAUAUACACAGGAAUGAAAAUACAUAAUAUGUUAUGUAGGUACAAAAACUUGCAUUCACACAUAUAUGAGCAUUCUAGGAUAUCUAAGGAAUUUUGGGAGUUGCCAUUCUUGAAAUUUGCUUAGUUUUCUAUUUCUCAUAUGCCGUGGGAGGAGGCUGGAGGGAGCAGCAUUAUGACAUCCCAUAACUUGUUCUCUUACUUUGCUGACCUCCAACUACAAAGCCCCCACCUGCCCAGCCACUAACACCCAUCAACCCACCCCCGCCAGAGACACCAACUCCAAAAUGGCCAAAACCUCAAAAGGAAAAACAAAUCACUUAGCAAUUUUGGUAUGUAUUCUCUCACCAUAGAGUGCUUCUUUUUCAUUUUUUGAAUAAGUCAAGCAUUUUAAGCAUUUGAUAUACAUGCCACUUAGAAAGGAUGGAGGUUUUUGAGAGCCAUGUGUUAAAACUCUCUCAUGACUUAUCAUUUAGUCAAAAUUAUAUCUUAAUCAUUGUGAUAGAGAAAAUUUUGUUCUCACUCCCUGCAUUGUGUCAUAGGGCAAAUUUGCAGCUUUGGCUGCUCUUAUCUUUUUGUAGGUUUUAAGGCUGCACAUGAUAUAGGAAUUUCCAAAUCUAGGACUAUUUGUCCAGUCAUGUCAUGUUAGGCAAGUCUUGUUUGUGUAGGUAUUUCAAUUUGGAACUUGCAAAAAUGGAACCUUUCCAGCAAAGUUGAACUGCUGGUCCCAAGACCAAAAGAUAAGGAUUUGCCUCAGGCUACAAGUCAAACCAGCAAAGUAAAACGUCAAAGUUCUCCUGCACAAAGGCUUACUGGUGCAAAACCUUUAGUAGCUUUAAUCCAAUUCCAAGAAUCUUGAGUUCAGCAUAUUUCUAAAAUUUGAGCCUAAUCAUCAUUCUGGAAUAGAAUCAGGGAAACCUUCUUGCAGUGUGUCUUGCACAGGUUUUCUUUAUCUGUACUUCUUGUAGGUUGUUGUAUUUGGAAACUUAUUGGCUCAAAAACCGUCGAUCAUUUACAUUUUGGAAGAUUAUUUUAUUCAAAUUUUAUUAGAACAUAAAUGAUGCAGUAUUUUCAGUUGAGUUAGAUCAUGAUAUUUUUAGCUCUCUUUGAAUCUUUUCAGUUAGCUGUUUUUUUGGUAAAAACUUGAUAUAAGUUGUUUGAGGUUGGAGAAACUUCCCUGGCAAGUAUCCAUUCCAUCCAAGUAGAAUUCCUAUGGACAGCUACAAUUAAUAGGAUUUUGAUUGAAAGCCAGCCAAUCUUUUGGAAUUAGGCUAUGGCAACAGGCUGUGUGUGUGUUAUUUUUCUUUUUCUUCUUCCCUUCUUUGGUUUUUUUUUUUUUUGUUGUUGUUGUUGUCAGUUUUGAUUCUUUUUACUUGCCUAAGUAGGAAAUAUUGCUCAUCUGCCCCAUAUGUUGUGGAAUGUUUCUCAUUUUCCCUGUUACGUCUACUGAGGAUGAGGAAUUGGCCUAUCCUUUUAUACAGUUAGUGGAAAAGAAUGCUUUAAACAGGGCUAUAUCCCAUAUUCUAUAUGAAUCUUUUCCUAAAGGAGACCCAUAGUUGGGUAUUCAUGUUGAGUAGGCAUUUAUACUAUGUAAAUUCAAUGUUGAAGUACUUUGCUUUUCAGAGCACUGAAUUUACUGCAAAAUACAUAGUUCUCAUACUUCUGAUUAUACCUGGCCACCUUUUUUUUUUACUGUUUGAGCCAAAAUUAGCUAAAUUUUAUGGCAAAUCACCAUUAACAUUCAAGAUAACAUGACCUUUUAAUCAAGAUAUUAACUGCAUAAAGCAACAUAUAACAUUCAUGAACAAUAAGGCUGAAAGAGGCAAAAACAUGCAUCCAUCAAUAUCUUACAUAAACACAUUCAAAACCUGUGGUUGGAUGAAAUAUGUCUAAAUAUGUAAAUGCUCUAUGUGAUAGGUUAUAUGAUAAAAUUUUACCUUUCUAAACUUGCAAGUAUCAAAAAAACUCUAAACAAUGUCCAAGCAAUGUCCCAAAAAGAGGUCAUCAUGUUUUAUGGAUGUAGAAAACCUUGCAAAAGAAUUUCAAAGCACUCCCCUUUAGAUGUGAAACAAGCAUAGAAGAAUUGGAUAGGAUUUAGAGAUUUAUAAAGAAAGCUAUCUUAAACUUUUAUAAGAUGGGAGAAAAUAUGAAAAUGAAAUGGUGUUAGACAAUAUUCUAAAUGCUUCAGAGAGAAGAGCUCUGUAUGGGAGAGGCAAAAGAAAACAAAAGAAAAAUGGCAUGUACAUUUAAGCAAUAACAAUCUUUUAAGAAAAAUGGCAUAAACUUGGUUUUUUCUUAAAACUACUUAGAAAAAUGUGCAUGUACUGCAUGUGUCAUAUCUUGUAGCAUUAAGUUUGUGAUAACUGCAGUUAAUUGACAUUAGUUUCAAGAUUGCAUGAAAGAUAUGCAUGUAGGAUUGGACUUCCCAAUUCCAAUGAGAAAGGAGAGACUGAAAGUGAUGUUGCCCCAUUGGAUUAGAUUAGCAUUGUCGAAAGUGGAACAAAGGGCUUCCAGAAAGUUGUGUGGCUGAUGAAUGUCUAUCAUAACUAGGGUACAAUUGUGUAAAGUGAUUAUAGCAUCAACCUUACUUUAUGGAGUAUGUUUGACAGUUAAGAAUACAAUAUCUCUAUUAUAUGUGCAUUGGGGAAAUGAUGUUGAGAUGGAUGGGUUGCUGGACAAGAAAGGGUGGAAUCGGAAAUGAAUCCAGUUGAGUAACUGGCAACACAAACUGAGGACAUGGGGAUAGGGAAUCAGUAAUGAAGACCAAUGAUUACACCAGUACAGACAAGUGAUCUGUCAUUUUCCAAUUCUUAAUGAAUUAUAAUAGAAAUCUCAAUCUUCGUUGGAUUUGAACUGGAAUGGUUGCUGAAGCCAAUAUUUGGAACAUUGCUAUUGUCUAUCUAUGACCAUUUGAGGACAAGUUAGGUGGUCCAUGGACCCAUUCUCCAUUACUUUGGUUCAAGAUACAUUUUUAAGUAGGAAAAGAAAACGACCAAGCGAUACUUGUUGGGUGAUAGUCUUUGAUUUUGUAGAACAUACUAUGUGAUUUAUUUCCUGAUCCCUCAGACAACAGAUUUAAAUCCCUCUGUCUAUGUUAUUUGUUUGCAAUUUAAUUAGUAGUUAUGGUCAGUAGAUCCAUACCCCUUUCACUAAUAUUACUCUCUUAUGCACUUUACAUGAGUGGUUGAAUCUGGGAUUUUCACCCAAUGAACGUUGCUCAAGUGUCAAUUCCAGACACUUUGGCAAGAUGCUUCCUUUCUUACUGACACAUGCUGUUUUCAAGUUGGCACCAGCUCUUUGUUAAAAAUUUUCUUUGGUAUACAGAACUACUUGAGUUUUGGUUCAUGUAUUCUUCUGUAUGCUGGGAUGCAGGUUCCAUGGUUGAUUAAUUCUUAAUUUUGCAUAUGUGAAUUUUAGAAUGAGGAACUUAAGAAACCCUAGGGGAUUUUGGUGUUGUACUAGAAAGAGUGGGCAGCAGAUGCAUCAAUGCAGGCAAACUGAACUUUUCUGAUUGAGAGUUAAAUAAAGCAGACAACACUUUUGGUCUGAAAUAUAUUCUCAUACAGUCAACAUGUCUCACAUGAAAGUAUGCCUUAGUAUUCUUCCUUGCUUUUCCUGUUUAGGAGCGGGUGUUGGGUUACUUAUUAGGGUUCUCCAUAUGGUUUCUACAAUGUUACUUCUUCCCUUUUUUAACAACAGAAACAGAGAGAGAGAGAGGGAAAGCCCAAAAAAAAAAAAAAGAAAGGAGAAGUUAAUAGCUAUUGACCCUAUGAUUUUCCAACAUGAACACCUGGAGUUGGUUUGUACCAUAUGUGGCCCCUCAAUAAUUUCGAAUUUGUCAACUUCAUUUCGUCGUAUUUGCUAUGCAACAAGCAAUUAGAAUUUUCAAAAGGGUGCUGGCCCUUUGAGCUGAGGAUAUUUGCACGAGACGAAUACUAAUGUGAUCAAUGAUGAGACAGCUUGGUUGGGAGAUGGGAAGUUGCCGUCAUACUUUUUCUACAUACAGAAAAAUCAGGACCCAUUAGGCAGGUCCAUUUCCACUAAUGAAAUAUCCUCAGCAGCCUGCAAUGAGCUUGGCCACUUGGUUAAUUCUCCACUGUUGGAUCUUCUCACAUGCCAUAGUUGAUUGUGACUAGCUUGGCGGCCCCAUUUGUAGCAAACAUUUCCGAAGGCUCUGUGCAUGGAGCCCUUUUAUCAUCUCUAUGGGGGGAAUCACACAAUACUUGUGAGUGCUUUCCGCACCAGCCAUGGUGUGCCAAGUCAAUCAUCAACUGUUACAAGUUUAAAAGAAAAGGUUCGUUUUCUUUUUGAGUUUUGCAUAGGUGCCAUGUGGCCCGGCUUUCAAUUGCUCAAAUAUUUUAAACGGACUCCUUUUUCAUAAUGUUUGGUGGAUGGCAUGCUGUAUUACCUGCUUUUGAAUUAUAUCGGCCAUUUUAA